GACAGAGGGUGCAAACGUUGUUCGGAAUUACUGGGCGUAAAGCGUGUGUAGGCGGUCCGAUAAGUCGGGUGUGAAAGCCCUGGGCUCAACCCAGGAAGUGCACUCGAAACUGCCGGGCUAGAGUAUCGGAGAGGUUGGUGGAAUUCUCGGUGUAGAGGUGAAAUUCGUAGAUAUCGAGAGGAACACCGGCGGCGAAGGCGGCCAACUGGACGAAUACUGACGCUGAGACACGAAAGCGUGGGUAGCAAACAGG
rnacentral:rRNA from 1 species